UUUAUUUCUUCGCGAGUAUUUUAUCGUUCUUUGUUGAAAUUGUUGUAUUGUAAGCCUAUGGUUUUGUACAUUUUACUUUGGAUUUUGCAAUUCAGUAAUGUUUUUGAUUAUAUUCUUUGUUUAUUUGGGAAUUCCUUUUUUUGGGUUCUUGGAAUUUGGAAUGAAUUAGAAGCAAUAUUCCAAUGCAGCAGCUACAGCUUUGUACAACUACCUGGGCAAUGCCAGCCCUGCUCAUGAUGUGGGCGACAUGCUUUCAUUGCUAAGUUUCUUCAGUCUGCACAUCGGAACAUUUGUCCUCUCAAACUCUAAUUUUGACUAUCUUCUUUAUAUCAAAAUUAGUUUUUCAUAAGAGGAAUACAUAUAGUGGAAGAUAGAAAGUCGGAGGCAUUACAACAGAAAAUUGAUCAUGCUUACUUAGCUUCAAAGGUUGUUGUAGGAAGAGUGGGAAAGAUGCCAGUCAGCGACACUGAAAUUGGUGAAUCACAUAUUGCUAGCACCAUCUAUGCUACUUUGCCACUAUUUUUUUUUUCACUAACACCUUCAAGAUUGAGCAUUUCUCCAACCCUCCCUCUGUGUUCUUGUGGGUGUUCAAUCAAAUUCCAAGCUCAUUUUAAAAGAAUCACAUCUUUUAUGUCUUUAUAGUGUUGAGGAGGUCAAGAAUGGCUGGAAAAAGUUGAGUUUUGGGGUUGGAACUCAGAAAACGGUGGAGCUGCAGCAACAAGAUUGUAAUAGCUGAGAAGUACAUGAAGUAUAGGGACUCUAAACAAUCGGUUGGGGUUAGAGUUAAAGAUCUUCUUGAUUGAAUGAUCCUUGAAGAAAGCAUAGGCCAAAUAAUUUUGAUUGAUAAGUCUGAAUCUAUAAUUAAAAUCAUGAAGCACUACUAUUAUGUCGGAACAUUUUUAAAUCUUUAAAAUACAGCCAUUUCCAUA